ACGAACGCUGGCGGCGCGCCUAACACAUGCAAGUCGAACGGUGAAGAGGAGCUUGCUCCUCGGAUCAGUGGCGGACGGGUGAGUAACACGUGAGCAACCUGGCUCUAAGAGGGGGACAACAGUUGGAAACGACUGCUAAUACCGCAUGACGUAUCGGGAUGGCAUCUUCCUGAUACCAAAGAUUUUAUCGCUUAGAGAUGGGCUCGCGUCUGAUUAGAUAGUUGGCGGGGUAACGGCCCACCAAGUCGACGAUCAGUAGCCGGACUGAGAGGUUGAACGGCCACAUUGGGACUGAGACACGGCCCAGACUCCUACGGGAGGCAGCAGUGGGGGAUAUUGGACAAUGGGGGAAACCCUGAUCCAGCGACGCCGCGUGAGGGAAGAAGGUUUUCGGAUUGUAAACCUCUGUUGACGGAGAAAAAAAUGAUGGUAUCCGUUUAGAAAGCCACGGCUAACUACGUGCCAGCAGCCGCGGUAAUACGUAGGUGGCAAGCGUUGUCCGGAAUUACUGGGUGUAAAGGGAGUGUAGGCGGGAUAUCAAGUCAGAAGUGAAAAUUACGGGCUCAACUCGUAACCUGCUUUUGAAACUGACAUUCUUGAGUGAAGUAGAGGCAAGCGGAAUUCCUAGUGUAGCGGUGAAAUGCGUAGAUAUUAGGAGGAACACCAGUGGCGAAGGCGGCUUGCUGGGCUUUUACUGACGCUGAGGCUCGAAAGCGUGGGGAGCAAACAGGAUUAGAUACCCUGGUAGUCCACGCCGUAAACGAUGAUUACUAGGUGUGGGGGGAUUGACCCCUUCCGUGCCGGAGUAAACACAAUAAGUAAUCCACCUGGGGAGUACGACCGCAAGGUUGAAACUCAAAGGAAUUGACGGGGGCCCGCACAAGCGGAGGAACAUGUGGUUUAAUUCGAUGAUACGCGAGGAACCUUACCCGGGCUCAAACGCACUACGAAUGAUGCUGAAAGGUGUCAGCCAGCAAUGGCGUAGUGCGAGGUGCUGCAUGGUUGUCGUCAGCUCGUGUCGUGAGAUGUUGGGUUAAGUCCCGCAACGAGCGCAACCCUUAUCAUUAGUUGCUACGCAAGAGCACUCUAAUGAGACUGCCGUUGACAAAACGGAUGAAGGUGGGGAUGACGUCAAAUCAUCAUGCCCUUUAUGACCUGGGCUACACACGUACUACAAUGGCGUUUAACAAAGAGAAGCAAAGCCGCGAGGCAGAGCAAAUCUCCAAAAAACGUCUCAGUUCGGAUUGCAGGCUGCAACUCGCCUACAUGAAGUCGGAAUUGCUAGUAAUCGUAGGUCAGCAUACUACGGUGAAUACGUUCCCGGGCCUUGUACACACCGCCCGUCAAACCAUGAGAGUUGGCAACACCCGAAGUCGGUAGUCUAACCGCAAGGAGGACGCCGCCGAAGGUGGGGUUGAUGAUUAGGGUU
rnacentral:rRNA from 1 species